rnacentral:tRNA from 1 species
GCCUUGAUAGCUAACUAAGCUAGUGACUCUUAAUCAUUUGAUGUAAUCCUAAUUACUCAAGGUA